UACGGGGGGGGCAAGCGUUGUUCGGAAUUACUGGGCGUAAAGGGCGCGUAGGCGGUCCGCUAAGUUGGAUGUGAAAACUCUGGGCUUAACCCAGAGCCUGCAUUCAAAACUGACGGGCUGGAGUUCUGGAGGGGAUAGCGGAAUUCCUGGUGUAGCGGUGAAAUGCGUAGAUAUCAGGAGGAACACCGGUGGCGAAGGCGGAUCUCUGGGCCGAUACUGACGCUGAGGAGCGAAAGCGUGGGGAGCGAACAGG
rnacentral:rRNA from 1 species